GAUGAAGAACGUAGCGAAAUGCGAUAAGUAAUGUGAAUUGCAGAAUUCAGUGAAUCAUCGAAUCUUUGAACGCACCUUGCACCCUUUGGCAUUCCGAAGGGUAUGCUCGUUUGAGUGUCAUUGUACUCUCACACUCUCCGAUCCUAUGGAUUCGGGGAGCGGUGGACUUGGGUGUUGCUGCCUUUCCCUGUGGCUCACCUCAAAUGCGUCAGUGCACCUCUUGGUUGGACAUAGUACGGCGUGAUAAGUGUCUUCGCCGGCACCUCGCAAGAGGGUGGCCGAUCGGGAGCUCUGUGCUUUCAAACCGUCUUCGGACAAUUUCUGACAUCUUGACCUCAAAUCGAGUAGGACUACCCGCUGAACUUAAGCAUAUCAAUAAGCGGAGGA
rnacentral:misc_RNA from 1 species